AAAAACAAAACCCUCAAAUUUCACUCAUUAAAGAUAAAAUCUCUCUCUUUCUUCGUCUUCAUACAUUCCCUCUCUGUGAUUUGUGAUCUCUUUCAACAAAAACCCUUCAAGAUCAACACAAAAUAUAAGAAUAAGAAGAAAAAACCAAUCUUUAUCACUGUCCAGUUUCAAAGAGUAAUGAGCAUCCUUCACUACCCUGAUGAGAUUAACGCACCAGAUCUACAGGUGUGGAACAAUGCGGCAUUCGACAAUGGCGAAUCAGAGGACUCGACAGGGAUCAAAUCAUCUUGGUGGACUCAAUCUCUUGAAUCCAGUUGCAGUAAGGAGAAUCUGAGCCCUGUUUUUGAGAAAUCCCCUGUUUCUCUCAAAUCUUCAGUAUCUUCAAUACCCAUCAAGCCCCUUAACUCUAACGGCAUCAUCGCUAACGCGCAAGGGAAUACAUUGAAGCUUGUUUCCAAACCGGGUAUGGUGUCCAAGAUUGUGAUUCUGGAAGAAGAGAGAAAUCGUGAUGAGAGAAAGAUAGACAAGGAGAUAGAAGAUAUUGAGAAGGAAAUUAAGCGCUUAUCGUCAAGACUCGAAGCGCUUAGGCUGGAGAAGGCAGAGAGGAGUCUGAAAAUGGAAAAGAAAGGUAGAAUUGUGCCGGCAAAAUUCAUGGAGCCCAAACAGACUGUCAAAAUUGAAGAGCCAUUGCUUUCUAGUGCGAAAUCAACAAAGAUUAAUCGAAGAGGACUCAGCUUGGGGCCAUCGGAGAUAUUAUCUGGAGCUAAGUCUCGGUUAUUGGGUAAGCAAGAAAUGACCCCUGUUUCUACACAGAAUCGCAGGAAAUCUUGUUUCUGGAAGCUUGAAGAAAUUGACGAGUUAAAAGCAACCAGGGAAAGAGGAAAGAGCUUAAGUGUAAGUCCAAGAUCGCGCAAAACAGUUUCCAAGAUUCAAGCUCCGAAGCUGGCUGCUACUACAGUGGGAUCUAAAAAGUCAGUGAAGAAAGAAGAUGGAUUUCUUGCAUUAAUCCAGCCAAAGACGCUAUUCAAAGAUGGAGAAAAAUCAGUGCCAAAUAAGAAACCAGUGAAACCCGGACGGUUUGUACCAAGUAGGUAUAAUCAGUUUGCAAUGAAUCAGUCUAAUGGGAAUUUAACUUCAAGUGAGGCUCGAAAAAGGUCUCUGCCUGACAGUGAUAAGGAAGAUGGCAACAAAAGGCGUGCUUCUCGAGGCAAUGGAGUGAAUCAGAGAAUAGAUAGUACAAAAGUGAAGAAGAAGUGGGAAAUACCAAGUGAAGUAGUUAUAUACAACAGUGAUGUUGUGGUGGAGGAAUCUGAACCAUCUGUUGCGGUGAUGGGUGAUGUUUUGCCAAAGAUCAAGACUUCCCGAUUUGUGAAUGAGACUCCAAGGGACUCGGGAGCUGCUAAAAGGGUGGCUGAUUUGGUUGGGAGGAAAUCGUUUUUUAGCACUGAUGAAGAGGAAACAACAGUGGACUCUGUUUGUCAAGCUCUGAGCUUUGAAGAAGAGGAUGUGAAGUUUAGUCCAUCUUGAAUUGCUUCACUGAUUAUUGUUGAAAAGCCAUAAUUCUUGUUAUGGGGGUUGCUUUGUCUAAACGGUCGGGUAAGAUUUUUGUUUUUUUUCUUUUUAGUUAUUUGGUUUCUGGUGUGAAAUAAUAGGAUAAGUUUGUCUCUUGUUUUUGGUUGAUGAUAACUAUGUUUCAACCUUCAUGGCUAUGCGCUUUUAAAAUUUGCAAUGAUAUCCUAUUCUUCAUUGAAAA
rnacentral:misc_RNA from 1 species